UUAGUGUGAAGGUGUGACUAAUGACUCGUGUGAUUUCGUCCGUCGACGAAAAACUCGAAAGUAAAAAUUUACAUUGCUUUUAGCUCAGCAACUCUUAUUAGCCUCUUUCUAUAGAUGUAGUCAUUGUAGUGAGCCAUUCAGAUUAUAUAAUGAUAAUAUCCUGACCACCUAAGAAACAGUUUUUUCUGUGGUAGCCUUCCUUGCUUUGCCUGUUUUCAAUUGGAUUCCAGUUGGGCAAAUCCAACAACUAUAAGAAAGAGAUUAAGAGAUACACCAUAUCCACGAAAAGUUAAUUCCAAACUUUGCCUCUUAUCAAAGCUUUGUCACGUGUGCCAAGUAUUUUUGCUGACUCCAAGAAACCGUUAAACAAUGGGACAACUUCAACAUGCUUCAAGUGCAAUUAUUAAAUAACUUUUGUUGUGAGGCUUGGUGUAUCAACUAGGUAUGAAGCUACUGUGUGCUCACUUUUCUCCGAGUUCAGCAACCUUUACAUCAAUGAUCACAACUGGAUAUUCAAUGGUUAUUUCAACAGGGCAUUAUUGCGUAAUAAUACUUUGAGUGUAUUACUAAUGUCGACUUGAAGCAGAACCGUCAACAAAAUUUGAUCCAUCGGUCAUCUCGCUCUUAAAACGUCCUCGCCCAGAGCUCCAGUAUCUUGUGGUGUGCAGCUACAUCCAGCUGCGACGUUAGUGGAGAUGAUCUUUUCAGGUUCCUGAGCAAACGAUUUCGUCGAUGGUGACGACAACAUUUCCCAGUGGAUGGUCGUUUUCUACAGUUUUGUUUUCCACUUUGAAAGAACAAACAGUUUGGGAAUGUCGGCCGAGUUCCUGCAGUUCGUCCACGAUGGAAACGGUGCGAUACUGGACCACGUUGUCUUCUUCUUCAGGCUGUCCAAGUUGACCGGAACCAGUUGCGGCAGUGCUUGGUAGGACCAGGCAAUGAGCUGCGGAAACGAAAAACAUUAAAAGGCAAGAUCCACAAAGAUAUGCUACACAAAAGAUUCUUGGUCGAUUUGUCAAAAGUUUCAUUCUUGUCACACGAAGAGAUAUAGUUCUAACCCAUUGUUGGUCGAUGGUGUGAAGCUGUAACCAAUUCCGCUGCACGGCCCACCCAGAAAGCCUACCUCAGAUAAAUGACAUGAAUGAAUAUUCAGCUUUAGAUGGGAACUCCAACAACUUCUGCGAUCCUCCUAAUCCUUUCCAUCUACCCGACUUUGACACCGGGACCACCUAUUAUUGCCGACUUCUAAUGGUACUUCCGGACUUCCGGUAAUCCGCCACAGCUCGACCGGCUUUCAGUAUUCAGCCCACAUCCGAGACUCUAUACAAUUGACGAAUCCAUCGUAAACCUGGAAACGUGCAUUAGAAAACCGGGUCCGUUUUGCGCACAACACAGAUGAUUCUCAGAGCGUUGCGCCUAUAAACGAGAAUGACAGAGACCUUUUAAUUUCGAGGGAGAUGAAUUAUUUGAAAAUGUCCAUUAGAAAAAAAUUAAGAAACCGCUGGCAAAUACCGAUCCGGUAUUUAGCGUGAACUUAAAGUGGCAAGCAACCGUUUCAAAUUUUUAAUAUUGAUUUUUGUUCGUUCCAUGUGCAGUCUGUUGGCAAUAAGCCAAUAACCAACUGUGACCAUCAAAAUUUUAACAGCAGAAUAAAGUACGCAAUGGGAAAACAGAUCGAAUUCAAGGGAAAAACUGAAAGAAUUUGAAUUAAAAUUCAAUAAAGAGUAGGGAAAGAAAAAGUUUUGGUUGCACAAACUGCCUGGAACAAGAGUCGGGUCGGCGGUCAUCGACUAUUACCAGUACAGUUUGGACUUUUUGGUUGAAUCUUUUUAAAUUGAUAGAUUAAUCGCAUUUCUUACACGACGUGUGUUAAAGUUUUACCCGUAGGCCUAUCCAUAAAUCAUUGACACAAC